rnacentral:ribozyme from 1 species
UGAAAAUACAUAUCCACCAAAAAAAAAAAGAAGAGACCUCCUCAUCAUAGACCCCUGUAGCAGUGAUGGAUGCAAAUACCCUUUACAUCGGAACAGCAGCUAUAGUUGUAGCCA